GAUCUAUCAGCUUUUGAUGUUAGGGUAUUGGCCUAACAUGGCUAUGACGGGUAACGGGGAAUUAGAGUUCGAUUCCGGAGAGGGAGCCUGAGAAAUAGCUACCACAUCUAAGGAAGGCAGCAGGCGCGUAAAUUACCCAAUUCUAAAGAAGAGAGGUAGUGACAAGAAAUAACAAUACAAGGCCAUUUCAUGGUUUUGUAAUUGGAAUGAUGGGAAUUUAAAACCUUCCCAAAAUUCAAUUGGAGGGCAAGUCUGGUGCCAGCAGCCGCGGUAAUUCCAGCUCCAAUAGCGUAUAUUAAAAUUGUUGCAGUUAAAACGCUCGUAGUUGAAUUUCAAAGAAUCAAUAUUUUAAGUAAUACUUUUGCCAUAAGAUGCUUAGACAAUACAACGUAUCUGUUCUUUGCAUUCCUUAUGCAAAAUGUGUUCUUAUUAUAAAAAGGAUUCUUUUUAAAAUCUCUUUUGCUAUUUUUUAGUAUUGGAGAUUUUGUUACUUUGAGUAAAUUAGAGUGUUCAAAGCAAACAGUUAAAGCAUUUUUACUGCGUUUGAAUACUACAGCAUGGAAUAACAAAAUUGAACAAGUCAGAAUUCUGUUCUUUUUUCUUAUUUUGGCUUAGUUACGAUUAAUAGGAGUAGCUUGGGGGCAUUUGUAUUCAGAUGUCAGAGGUGAAAUUCUUAGAUUUUCUGGAGACAAACAACUGCGAAAGCAUUUGCCUAAAAUACUUCCAUUAAUCAAGAACGAAAGUUAAGG
rnacentral:rRNA from 1 species